GAUGCUUUGGGAAACUGGAGCAUUAGUGGCAAACGGGUGAGUAACACGUGGGUGACCUACCUCAGAGUGGGGAACAACAGACCGAAAGGUUUGCUAAUACCGCAUAUGCUCAAGGAUUCAUUUUGUUGAGUAAAGGCGCAAGUCGCUCUGAGAGGGGCCCGCGUCCCAUCAGGUAGUUGGUGAGGUAAUGGCCCACCAAGCCGAGGGCGAGUAGCUGGUCUGAGAGGACGAUCAGCCACAAUGGAACUGAUUUUCGGUCCAUACGGAUACGGGAGGCAGCUGCUCAUCUUGUGGGUAACUCGAGCCAUCCU
rnacentral:sRNA from 1 species